UUAUACGGCCAUACGACCCUGAGAAUGCCCAAUCUCAUCUGAUCUCAGAAGCUAAGCAGGGUUGGGCCAAGUUAGUACUUGGAUGGGAGAUCACUUGGGAAUACCGGGUGCUGUAGGCU
rnacentral:rRNA from 1 species